GUGCUCACUUUAGCAGCACAUAUGGUAAAUUUGGAAUAAUACAGAGAAGAUUAUCAUGGCCCCUGUGCAAGGAUGACAUGCAAAUUCAUGAAGCGUUGCUAUUUUUU
ensembl:snRNA U6 U6 spliceosomal RNA